ACAAAGGCUCUUUUAAGAGCCACUCCAACGACAAUUAAGGAGCUGU
rfam:Colinus virginianus strain Texas jcf7180006226694, whole genome shotgun sequence.